AUGACAAGAAUCCUUUACCAUCUGUCAGGAGGGCCAACACCCAGUAGCUUUGCUCAGGCCUUGUCUCUGGCUUUCCCUGCUACUACUACUACUACAGGCUCAGCUGAAUCUACUGGCACCCCUUUGAGAGCUUUGUCUACAAUGGCCUGGACUCUUUUCCUCCUUCUGCUCUUCUCUAAAUACACUGGGUCCUGGGCCCAGUCUGUGCUGACUCAGCAGCCCUCACUUUCUGGGACUCCAGGACAGAGGGUCACCAUCUCCUGCACUGGAAGCAGCAACAAUAUUGGCGGCAGCGGUAAUUAUGUGAACUGGUACCAACAGCUCCCAGAAACGGCUCCCAAACUCCUCAUCUAUGGUAAUAGUAAUCAACUCUCAGGGGUCCCUGAUCGCUUCUCUGGCUCCAAGUCUGGCAACUCUGCUUCACUGACCAUCACUGGACUCCAGCCUGAGGAUGAGGCUGUCUAUCACUGUCAGUCUUAUGAUGACAGCCUCAGUGCUCGCACAGUGCUCCAGGCUCAUGGGGAAGUAAUACAAGAACCCUUUACCAUCUGUCAGGAGGGCAAACACACAGCAGCUUUGCUCAGGCCUGGUAUCUGGCUUUUUCUGCUACCACUACUGUAA